AGCGGCGUAAGGGGUAGUUAGGCAUGGGUAACCAACCCUCUGGAUGGGGAUAACACCGAGAAAUCGGUGCUAAUACCCAGCGAUGUUGAGUGGGGGCAUCUCCGCUCAAUCAAAGGUGUGAUUCCGCCAGAGGACGGGCUCAUGUGGUAUUAGCUAGUUGGUAGGGUAAUGGCCUACCAAGGCAACUAUGCCUAGGGGGUGUUGGCGCACGACCCCCACCACUGGGACUGAGACACUGCCCAGACACCUACGGGUGGCUGCAGUCGAGAAUCUUCGGCAAUGAGCGCAAGCUUGACCGAGCGACGCCGCGUGGAGGAUGAAGGCCUUCGGGUUGUAAACUCCUGUCAGGGGGGAGGAAAGUGAGGUGGGCUCUCCCAUCUCAUUGACCUAGCCUCAGAGGAAGGACGGGCUAAAUUCGUGCCAGCAGCCGCGGUAAUACGAAUCGUCCAAACGUUGUUCGGAUUCACUGGGUUUAAAGGGCGCGUAGGCGGUGCGUUAAGUCGGCGGUGAAAUACUUCGGCUCAACCGGAGAAUGGCCGCUGAAACUGGCGCGCUCGAGGAAGGCAGAGGUGCAUGGAACUUCCGGUGGAGCGGUGAAAUGCGUUGAUAUCGGAAGGAACACCCGUGGCGAAAGCGAUGCACUGGACCUUUACUGACGCUGAGUGCGCGAAAGCUAGGGUAGCGAACGGGAUUAGAUACC
rnacentral:rRNA from 1 species